GAAGCUGUUCCGCCGCCAAGUGGGACAAAUGCAACUUCCUCUGCGAGCUGUGGCUUAGGAGUAGUUUUUAUGAUAGAGUGCAUCUAAAAAAACCCCAGCUUUAUUUUGAAUUUUGGAAGAGAGUUUUAUUGAAAGUGUUUCGAAAGUCUCAGAAGAGGAACAGUGACUUUUUAAUGAGUGACAUAAUGAUCACGUUGUCCCUCUGUCUUUAGGGAGGUGCUGAGGACAUGGCGGAAUAAAAUGCACGAUUGUAAUCACAGGCGGUAGUGGCCAGCAGUCUCCCAUCAGAAACUGGCUUUGGUGCUUUUGCAGACAAGCAUUCGCUGUUCUGCUGAAGACGUCACAGUGCAGUGGAAAAACCCAGACUUGCCUGGGAGGCUUUGCUGCUUAUUCACAUGUGAAGGGUUUCUUCAGGUGCGAGCGUUUGCUCUGGAUGCCUGUCCCUGCUAUCUGCAGCUUCAUAUUUUUUUGCUCCAUUUAGCUAAGGACAGCAAGUUACCCUGAGUCACAGCCCAGAGGUGGAGUAGUGAGAAGAGCUCUGGAAGGAGCAAUUAUCCUGGCCCUGGGAAUACACAGUCCUGGAAGUGGAGCAGCCAGUGCAUGUCCAGGGGGGAUUACACACAGUGUGCAAUUGCCUGAAGAGAGGAGGCACCUGGGCAGACCAGGUGCAGGGCUCUUGCCUGGGUAGGAAGGUGACUUGGAAGAGAGAAACAGAUGCUUUCUGAAAGCUGAUGGCAAAGUGAAAACAAAGCCUCUUCAGGCAGCCCGAGUUGCAAGGUUAGGUAGGCCUGUGGAGGUGGGAGUGCUGCUCCCCAGAAUCUGAGUGCUCUCUUGAUAGCCCUUUGCUCAGAAUGAAAUCACAGAAAUACUGAACACUUGCAGCAACUGUCCCUGCAGUGACUAUAUCAGUGCUGGGAAACUGAAGCAAAUGGGAUACAAGUUUUUGCCUUGUAAGAGCAGAGUUCUGGGAAGUUUGGGGUCUCUGCUACUAGCAGGCACUGUCCUUCCCAACGCAGCAAGGCUUUAGGACCCACCAGUGAAGGGGAGAAAUUGUCUGAUUCUGCUGAUCCCACAGAUGAGACUCCCCCUUCAUUUCUCAGACUGCUGGGCUGUGUUUACAGGAAAAGGGGAAGGGACCCUGAAAAAGUGGUGAUCACUGAUGCUGUUGCCUGAAAGCUGCAAGGUCUGAGGACGGUUACUAGUGGUAUCACUUGAUAAGCUGUUGGGAUAUCAAGGAGUAACUUACACGCCUUGUUCUGGAUGGUGCAUGCCAGAAGAUGGGCAGAGUAGUGGCACGACCAAGGAUAGUGCUGGGAGUUCAGCUUGGAAAGCAUUUUAGAAGUGGUGGGAAAAUAUGUUGACUGUUGCAGUGUUGAUCCUGAUAAUUUUGUCUGUGGGAGAAGGGGUGGGGUUGGGAUAUGUGUCUAAUGUUUGCACUGCUGAGGUUUUAACUACACUGGUCUGCAGGGGCAAGGGGUGGAGUUUUUAAUGAAUAUGCAGUAAGAUGAUGAUUAUGUUAAAGAUGGAGUUUGAGUAAGGCUGAAACAAUUCUUAACAUAUCUUUCAAUAAAGUGCAGGGUAGAAUGUAAAGAACAUAAAUUGCAGACGGUAUCAAGAGAUGGCAGUGAUGACCUGUGUGGAGACCCUGUCCCAUGCCAGCAUUUAAGCUCACAGUACUGUGACUCAGGAAUACUUCUGGAGACACAGGUGCACUUUUUGAAGGAGAUCCAUGCUGAAAGGAUUUAAUUCCAAGGGCACUGCAGCUGGUGGAUGAGUUAUGCUUGAACAAGGAAACCACUGAGGGCUCUAUGGGCACUGGGUAACCUGUGCUGGAGUAGGUAUUCACUAAAAAGACAGUGCUCCAAACUUCUGCACCAUAGUAACAUUGUAUCUUUAUUGUCCAAUAAAAAUGAGUAUUUGAUCUCA